rnacentral:rRNA from 1 species
AUGUACACCAUGGUCACCAUGUCCUUCCUCGACGUCUUCGGCGCCAACGGCAAGUACCACCUCGACCUCUCCGGCCACGACCUCUCCUCCGUCGGCGCCGACAUCAAGCACUGCCAGUUCAAGGGCGUGCCCGUCUCCCUCUCCAUCGGCGGCUACGACACCGGCUACUCGCUGCCGUCCAACCGCUCCGCGCUCGACCUCUUCGACCACCUGUGGAACUCCUACUUCGGCGAGUCCAAGCCGGGCGUCCCCUGCCCCUUCGGCGACGCGUGGCUCGACGGCGUCGACCUCUUCCUGGAGCACGGCACGCCGGCGGACCGCUACGACGUGCUGGCGCUGGAGCUGGCCAAGCACAACAUCCGCGGGGGGCCGGGGAAGCCGCUGCACCUGACGGCGACGGUCCGGUGCGGGUACCCGCCGGCGGCGCACAUGGGGCGGGCGCUGGCGACGGGGAUCUUCGAGCGCGUCCACGUGAGGACCUACGAGAGCGACAAGUGGUGCAACCAGAACCUUGGGUGGGAGGGCUCGUGGGACAAGUGGACGGCGGCGUACCCGGCCACCCGGUUCUACGUCGGGCUCACGGCGGACGACAAGUCCCACCAGUGGGUACACCCCAAGAACGUCUACUACGGCGUCGCGCCGGUGGCGCAGAAGAAGGACAACUACGGCGGCAUCAUGCUCUGGGACCGAUACUUCGACAAGCAGACCAACUACAGCAGCUUGAUCAAGUACUACGCCUGA